rnacentral:rRNA from 1 species
UAGGGAAUCUUCCGCAAUGGGCGGAAGCUUGACGGAGCAACGCCGCGUGAGUGAUGAAGGUCUUCGGAUCGUAAAACUCUGUUAUUAGGGAAGAACAAAUGUGUAAGUAACUAUGCACGUCUUGACGGUACCUAAUCAGAAAGCCACGGCUAACUACGUGCCAGCAGCCGCGGUAAUACGUAGGUGGCAAGCGUUAUCCGGAAUUAUUGGGCGUAAAGCGCGCGUAGGCGGUUUUUUAAGUCUGAUGUGAAAGCCCACGGCUCAACCGUGGCGGGUAAUUGGUAGCUGGAAAACUUGAGUGCAGAAGAGGAGAGUGGAAUACCAUGUGUAGCGGUGAAAUGCGCAGAGAUAUGGAGGAACACCAGUGGCGAAGGCGACUUUCUGGUCUGUAACUGACGCUGAUGUGCGAAAGCGUGGGGAUCAAACAGG